AUCCUUAGCAAUGCGUUGAUACUUCAUGUUGGGUCUUGAAAGUUCAUAAGAGUCCGCCGAAAUCGAAUAUCAAUAUUAUUUUAGUCUAAUUACAUUGUGUAUAUGCACAAGCCAUCUUAUACAAAGCAGCCGAAAAAUAGAAAACCGAAACGCUGCAAUGUUUUUUUGUAGAAAACGGCGAUUCAGGGUUUGAAUUCUGCUAUUGUCGUCUGAUUCAUGGAAUCCUGUGUUCGCCAGGGUCUCACGGUGACAUAGAGCCCUCACACAUGUCUGUAAGACCAAUACUUCCUUGUUUACAAGCAUUACAAGCCAAUGAGGCGAUCACUAUCAAAACGGGGCAUGUAUACUUUGAUUGACAGCUACACCAGCAGACAGCAAGGGUCGGGGACGGGCUCACGUGUGGUGGAGAAAACAAAUGCGCAAGGGGUGUGCGUAAACUAGCAGGCUCUUCCCCAGAGUGCGAGUGUGAAGCAAGUGGUUGAAUUGCGCGCUCGUGUGUGGUUUUACUUUUAUUUACUUUUGUGAAGUUACACAGCAAAUGCCAAAGUGUUAAAAUCCCAGAGUAUUCAUGACCAGAGUAGAUUUUAUACACUUUGGUGUUGAAUAGGCACUAAGUACAUUUUUUGGGGUGUACCAGAAACACUCUUGGGUGUUGUCUCUAAGUUAAUGCUGGUGUAGAGUAAUUUAAGUGUUUAUUUUAGGAUGAUGGACUCCCUUGAUUGAGUGUCCAACGGUUGAUUGACGGCCGCACGUCGGCUUAGGUUUCGAUUCGUCAUUGGCUCGCUGCGCCUCCUCAUUGGUUGAAUCUAGAGACAUGUGACCGUUUGUCCUCUUCCACACUACGCGGCAAACUGUUUCGGCAGAGACGGUUGACUAGAGAGGAUCGAAUCAAUAUCGCCAAGGGAUCGCUCAGAGUGAGCGAAGACAUUUUUGAACUUCACGGGAAUGUAAACAGGUUGGGAUAGUGACAUGGCCUCACUUCUCCUGCUGGUCUACCUCCUGCCACCACCUCCAAGUGGAAAGAAGGGAGCUGUCAAAAUCAGUAUCCGGGAAGCUGUGGAUCGUGUAGUGAAGUUUCACAGGGUAAUUGUAUCCUGAUAAUUUUUAUUUUAAAAGGUAUUUUUAAAGGUCCCAUGGCAUGCCGCCAGAGCUUGUGUGUUGCUGAUGGAUGUCACAAUCUCUGUGUUUGUCAAUCUACUUAUCGAGUCUUAAACAAUGGCGUCGACGGGUGAUCUACUGAUGGUAUUGUGUGUAUAAAAAUCUGUACACUUACAAAGUUCUCAUUGCCUCGUUUUAUAUGUUAAUACCCUUAUUGAACUACCAAAGAAGUGUCGGGCUACUUCUAGCCUUUUAAAUGGUUUAAAAUAGCAAUUUAGUUUUUACCAUAACCACUGCCCCCAUUGUUUCAAUUUUAUAGCGUUUUGAUAGAAUCGGCUAAAAACAGCCAACUGAAGAAAGCGUCUAUAUGCGUUUUUUUGUGCUCCAAAACGAACGUUUCAACUCAUUAUCAUACAAAACAUAUCCCAAAUCCGUUUUACACCGGAAUUCCCCUUUAAUUGGUUGACAGGGACACAUUUAUUUAUUUUCAAGUUGUUUGUUACAUCAUAUAAAUGUAAAACUAAAUAUGGUUCUUGAUGUAAAAUAAUUAAAGUUUAACUAUAAUGUUAACUAUAUUAUAUAUGUAUGCACUGUAACAACAGCAGCAUCAAUAAAAAUAUAAUGUUUUCAAGAAUCUAAUGUGUAGACUAUUCAUUCAUGAAGUGUUGAUAAUUCACCUCAAAGGUGUUGGUUGUACACCAGUCAGAGUACAUUCUCACUCUAGAAGUAUUAAAUAAUCAGCUCUGCGAAGUGCUACAAAGCACUGACUUGGAGUACAUAUUUUCUCUCUCUGGGGUUCUAGGUUUACACUGCAGGUGUAAGGAAGCACUGAAUGAGUGCCCAAAAGUACCACUAAUAGAGUACAUUUGCACUCUCAAAGUGUUCAAAUGUAACUCUAAAUUUGGAGUACAUAUUUUGCUCUUCUAACAGUGUUCAGUGAACACUGAACUCUUGGACCUAUAUAUACCCAAAAAUGAGUGUUAAAUGUACACCCAUAGAGUACAAUGUACACUGUGAUUUUUGCUGUG